UACGAAGGGGGCUAGCGUUGCUCGGAAUCACUGGGCGUAAAGCGCACGUAGGCGGAUUGUUAAGUCAGGGGUGAAAUCCUGGAGCUCAACUCCAGAACUGCCUUUGAUACUGGCGACCUUGAGUCCGGGAGAGGUGAGUGGAACUGCGAGUGUAGAGGUGAAAUUCGUAGAUAUUCGCAAGAACACCAGUGGCGAAGGCGGCUCACUGGCCCGGAACUGACGCUGAGGUGCGAAAGCGUGGGGAGCAAACAGG
rnacentral:rRNA from 1 species